ACACCAUACUGUUGUUUGUGUCUAUGAGUUUUUGUGGCUGUCGACCCUUUUCAUUUUAGCUAUUUUGGCCUUUAUCUUGGCUUGAAGGUGUGGGCUCCGUGCGGAACACCAACCUCCACCGUUACUUUCAGUGUCAUUUUAAAAGGGAAAGGCAAAACAAUGGAGAGAGAAUGCAGAUCAGUGAUUGCCGGGGGCCAGGAGUUGGAGAAGAGGAAUUGACUUCCAAGGCUCAUGAGCAGACUUUUUUGGAGUGAUGGGAAUGUUCUAGAUCUUGUUUGUGGUGGGGGUUCCAUACUAUAUAUAUUAACAACAACAAAAAACUUCAUCAGACCCACACUUAAAAUAGCAAGUAGGUCUUAACCUGUAAAAAAGCAUAUAAUGACUACAUGAUGGAUGCAAGGUACAGCAAACAGGGAAAGGUUCCUUCAUGCAGGCUUCUCACAGUGCAGUGUGGACCUUGAUGGGUAAAAAAGGAGAGGAAAGUAAGUAUAUACAGAAAAAUGUCAAAUAUUUUAAACCUAUGAUAAUUGAGAGAUUAAAAUCAACUGUACUUCUAAUAAUAUUAUACUGUGAAGAAUAGCAAGCUUCCGAGGGUAUACUCUUUGCUACUAAGUUCCCUUACAUGCUUGGACUUGAGGUAGGUAGAGCCUAUUUAAAGAGAGUGUUGAUUUGGUAGCAAUCCAGGUAGACAGUAAAGCAUAAGUGAAGGU